CAGCAUGUUUGCAUACUAUAUUCAAAAAUUCGAUAGCCAUACAAGAGUAUUUUUGAAUAUGUGAAAUGGGUUUUACACAAUGAGGAUCAAACAUUAUAAAUUUAUAACCAAGAAUUCUCGAAAUAUCUCCCUUUCAAAAAAGACCAAAAACUGAAGUAAGAAAAAGAAAACAGAAUCUUCAGCCUAAUCAAGCUUCCUUUUUUUUUUUUUUUGGAAAUCAAGCUUCCUUCUACUUAAAAUAUAACAACAGAAAAACAGAGGAGGAGAAGAACCCAUAUAAGAUCAUGACCACUAAAUAUCUUCAACUCCGUGGAAAAAGAUCGAUCAUGGGCGAGUGGGGUACACGCGUUUGCCGUCACCGGAAUGUUCAGAAAUUCGUUUACAAACGGAGCGACGGAGGAAAGAGAGAAUGGAUUUGAGGAUUUUGGUCUUCACCAACUCUCUCUUCUUGGGGAUCACAGUCCCUUGUUUCUUCUUGAACGGCUUCAACUCCUCGUGGCUCAUCUUGUUCG
rnacentral:lncRNA from 1 species